CCUGUGCUCCAGACUGUCUCUGCACCAAAUAUCUGCUAUCUUCCCAUCUGGAUACCACUGUACAAUAGGGAAAAUAAAGGAAAACCUCUAACAGCUCCCAAAGUGACUAUUAGCUCUGAAAGACAGUGAAAUACUUAACCUGUGCUCCAGACUGUCUCUGCACCAAAUAUCUGCUAUCUUCCCAUCUGGAUACCACUGUACAAUAGGGAAAAUAAAGGAAAACCUCUAACAGCUCCCAAAGUGACUAUUAGCUCUGAAAGACAGUGAAAUACUUAACCUGUGCUCCAGACUGUCUCUGCACCAAAUAUCUGCUAUCUUCCCAUCUGGAUACCACUGUACAAUAGGGAAAAUAAAGGAAAACCUCUAACAGCUCCCAAAGUGACUAUUAGCUCUGAAAGACAGUGAAAUACUUAACCUGUGCUCCAGACUGUCUCUGCACCAAAUAUCUGCUAUCUUCCCAUCUGGAUACCACUGUACAAUAGGGAAAAUAAAGGAAAACCUCUAACAGCUCCCAAAGUGACUAUUAGCUCUGAAAGACAGUGAAAUACUUAACCUGUGCUCCAGACUGUCUCUGCACCAAAUAUCUGCUAUCUUCCCAUCUGGAUACCACUGUACAAUAGGGAAAAUAAAGGAAAACCUCUAACAGCUCCCAAAGUGACUAUUAGCUCUGAAAGACAGUGAAAUACUUAACCUGUGCUCCAGACUGUCUCUGCACCAAAUAUCUGCUAUCUUCCCAUCUGGAUACCACUGUACAAUAGGGAAAAUAAAGGAAAACCUCUAACAGCUCCCAAAGUGACUAUUAGCUCUGAAAGACAGUGAAAUACUUAACCUGUGCUCCAGACUGUCUCUGCACCAAAUAUCUGCUAUCUUCCCAUCUGGAUACCACUGUACAAUAGGGAAAAUAAAGGAAAACCUCUAACAGCUCCCAAAGUGACUAUUAGCUCUGAAAGACAGUGAAAUACUUAACCUGUGCUCCAGACUGUCUCUGCACCAAAUAUCUGCUAUCUUCCCAUCUGGAUACCACUGUACA